rnacentral:rRNA from 1 species
CCUACGGGAGGCAGCAGUGGGGAAUAUUGGGCAAUGGGCGCAAGCCUGUCCCAGCAACGCCGCGUGAAGGAAGAAGGCUUUCGGGUUGUAAACUUCUUUUCUCAGGGACGAAGCAAGUGACGGUACCUGAUGACUAAGCCACGGCUAACUACGUGCCAGCAGCCGCGGUAAUACGGGGGAUGCAAGCGUUAUACGGAUUUAUUGGGUUUAAAGGGUGCGUAGGCUGUGAGGUAAGUCAGCGGGGAAAUGCCCCCGCUCAAGGGGGUGAAGUGCCAUUGAUACUGCCGUGCUGGAAUGCGGAUGCCGUGGGAGGAAUGUGUGGUGUAGCGGUGAAAUGCAUAGAUAUCACACAGAACACCGAUCGCGAAGGCAUCUCACGAAUCCGCGAUUGACGCUGAUGCACGAAAGCGUGGGUAUCAAACAGGAUUAGAUACCCUUGUAGUC